rnacentral:rRNA from 1 species
CCUACGGGAGGCUGCAGUGAGGAAUAUUGGUCAAUGGGCGCGAGCCUGAACCAGCCAAGUCGCGUGAGGGAAGACGGUCCUAUGGAUUGUAAACCUCUUUUGUCGGGGAGCAAAAGACGCCAUGCGUGGCGUUCCGAGAGUACCCGACGAAAAAGCAUCUGCUAACGCCGUGCCAGCAGCCGCGGUAAUACGGAGGAUGCGAGCGUUAUCAGGGUUUCUUGGGUUAAAGGGGUGUGCCGGCGGAAUAGCAAGUCAGCGGGAACAUUGGGAGGCUCAACCUCUUCGAGCCGUUGAAACUGGUUUUCUUGAGUGAGCGAGAAGUAUGCGGAAUGCGUGGUGUAGCGGUGAAAUGCAUAGAUAUCACGCAGAACUCCGAUUGCGAAGGCAGCAUACCGGCGCUCAACUGACGCUCAUGCACGAAAGUGUGGGUAUCGAACAGGAUUAGAUACCCGAGUAGUC